AUACGGAGGGUGCAAGCGUUACUCGGAAUCACUGGGCGUAAAGCGCGCGCAGGCGGCUAUUUAAGUUGGAUGUGAAAGCCUAUGGCUCAACCAUAGAACUGCAUCCAAAACUAUUUAGCUAGAGUGUGGGAGAGGAAGAUGGAAUUAGUCGUGUAGGGGUAAAAUCCGUAGAGAUAACUAGGAAUACCAAAAGCGAAGGCAAUCUUCUGGAACACUACUGACGCUGAGGCGCGAAAGCGUGGGGAGCAAACAGGAUUAGAAACCCGAGUAGUCC
rnacentral:rRNA from 1 species